UACAGAGGUCUCAAGCGUUGUUCGGAUUCAUUGGGCGUAAAGGGUGUGUAGGUGGCGCGCUAAGUCGGGUGUGAAAUUUCGGAGCUUAACUCCGAAACUGCAUUCGAUACUGCCGUGCUUGAGGACUGGAGAGGAGACUGGAAUUUACGGUGUAGCGGUGAAAUGCGUAGAUAUCGGGAAGAACACCGGUGGCGAAGGCGGCUCUCUGGACCUGUCCUGACGCUCAGGCGCGAAAGCUAGGGGAGCGAACGAGG
rnacentral:rRNA from 1 species